GUUCUAUGUACUUAUAAUUUUGAUAGAUAUUGCUAAUUUCCCUCAAUUGAAGUUGCACCAUUUUACAGCUAGAAAUUCUGGAGAAUGUCAGUGUAUCCUAAGGAGCAUGGCAGAAAACAGAUGCAUUAAUUGGGUAAUAUGAAGAAGACUAAGUAAAGGAAUUAUUUACAAAGUAUGGGCAGGAUACAGAAACCCCAGGGCUUUCCGUGGAAUAUAUAUUGAGGUGGGGGUGAGGGGCUGAGGUUACCGCUAUGGGACCUGAGGGUGCAAGAGGAGGAAACACUCACUGAAGCCUGAAGGCAGAGAGGGUUGUGUUCAGAGGGCCACCUGAAAGGGGCUGUGAAUUGGUGACAUGGAGGCAGCCAGCCAGAAGCAAAUCCUCAGAAAGGAAGCCUAGGGAGUAAAUAAUUUCGACCACACUCUCCUUCCUCCUUCUGAUGCCUUGCUGAUACCAUCCAUUGCCCAAACUUGACAGAUGGCCAGAGAUUAAACCAGACCCUUAAUGUAAUCCCCACAGGUCAGCCGCCUGAAGUACAGAGCAGGGUAGAGAAAUGGGACUAGAAGUACAAGCAGGACAUCUCCAGCUCAGUUGACCUCUUCAUACCAUCACUGACACCCUGGUCUACACUAUUAUUUAUACUAUGUAUCUGAGAGUGCCUCCAAAUUCCUGUUGCUUAGCACAUGAUCUUCCCUUCUGAAGAAAACCUUCUUUCUUCUCUCUGGAGGACAGAUAUCGAUGUUGCAGGUCACCUUCUGAAAAGCCAUCUCUUGAUCCCUCUCAGGUUUCUAGAUGAAGCUGGAGGCAAGAGACCUGGAGAGACAUCUAGGAGAUGUGGUUAGAUGGGACCAGAUAUCACAUUUGCCUUUCCUCAUCGUCUUUCCUCCCUAAACUUAUGAUUCAGGGAAACAUAUACUGUCAUAACUAUUCCACGAUGCUGGAAAAAUUACAACACCCCUAAAUAUUAAAAUACAUUUGGUUCUGUUGCCUUGGGAGUAAUAGAACAUAAAGGAACCACCCUUGGACAACAAAAAAUUAAUUGAAAUCAUUUCUUUUCAUGUUUCA
rnacentral:lncRNA from 1 species